rnacentral:lncRNA from 1 species
GUCAUGAGGAGCUGGACUCUAAUCUAACACAUUUUCUGUUCAACCAAUGCAGUACAAACCAUGAAGGCGUGUCGGCACCUGCAGCCAAAACAUAAAAAUCAACAGAGGCUGCUCAGUAUUGCACAGAAGAAAGUGAGCUGCAGACUGAAGCACGGUGGUGAUGAACAUUUGGGAGAAGAUGAUCUGCAGGACCCUGCUGCUUGUCAUCCUCACCUCAUGUGUCUCUGGAUCAUUUGUAGUCAAUGUGACACAGACCUCCUAUCAGGCAGAGGAGAACCACAACAUCACACUGGAAUGGACGUUCACAACCCAACCUGACAGAUCCCCCAAAACUCUCAACAUCCUCUGUGAAUUGAUAACUGAGCAUACAGAUUCAGUCCUGUAUCGUGUUCGUGAAGGUGUUGAGGUGUCAGAGUCUCAGGAUGAAAAGUUUUCAGGACGUGUUGAGAGUGACAAAGACAGCCUCAGAGAAGGACGAAUCAGACUUCAACUGUUUAGACUCAGGACUGAUGACUCGGGUCUGUACCUGUGUGAACUGAACACAGAUUAUGGCUUUGGCUCUGCCAGAUGUCGACUCAGCAUCACUGGUUCGGAUGACCCCAAACGUCAAAGUCCAACAGUGAACACACAACCAGAGAGUCGAGGAUGGCUCAACCUUCACCACCUAGGCAGCGACUGCAGUGAAGCAGUGGUCAACUUGAAUAAUUCAGAUGCCACUCAUCUUGCUGCUUCAUUAGAAGCCACAUCCACCAUCUUCAUCUGAGUGUGGACAUGACUUCCCUGAACCCCAAAGAUUGUCAUGUUAACAGCUGGGUCUGCAGUGGAAGCUUUGUGGAAGCAUCAACCUCAGUCUGAACUGAGAAACACUGUCUGCAGUCUGCAGCCAUCAUCGCAAACACUGAUGGAAACAUUUAAAGCUCGUAUCACACAUAUCAUUAAUAACAUUUCUUUCCUCUUUUGGUUCUAUCAUUUGUCUCUGUCAGAUAUUGUCUGAGGAAUCUUUAUUAUUUGGCCAUUAAGUAUGCAGAGCGAUUGAAAUCACUUGUUGUUCUCCCAUCAGCUGUUAUCAACAAUUACUGUUUAAAAUGUGCCUGAACUCAAGAAGUUAAAAGAAUUCAAAGUGUUACAAUGAACUCCUAAUAAUUUGACUAUGGAUCGCCAUAGUUAGAAUGUACUUUUCCUAAAGUUAAUGUGUAUGUGUAUAUAUUGUAAACAAAUCCUUAUUUAUAUGAAAGAAGUUAUGAUUCUUCUGUGUAUGCGUGUGUCCAAAUCAUUUUAUCAAUGAGCCAGAAGAUCUUUGAGAGAUCUACCAAGUGUAAUCUAACAUGUUUGCUACUAUUAGUUCACAAGGUGUAAAACAGCAAGGGCAGGAGUUUGAUAAUUAUUUAAAAUAUAUAAAACACUGAAUGUGUAGAUAUAAACCAACACUCAUUAUAAUUCAGAGUUGUUCAUGCCAACUCUUAAUCAUAACAUUAUUCUAGUUAAAUAAUAUUUAAUUGGAGUUGAAAUGACUGUUUUACUCUCAGCACUGAAAACACUUUGAUUCUGCUGAGUUUGUCUCCUGUCAGCUUCUGUCUCUGCUUUCAUAAAAUAAAACAAUCGAUCUUUGUGAUCAACAACACAAACAAUGGUGGUGACAUUUCUGACGAAAAAUACUGCAGCAUGGUGUUAACAGCUACAUGUAAUCUCCCAUCAUGUUCACUGCAUUUGUUGACAUGAGUAGACAGAUAACAGUUUUCUGUUUUAUCACAUUUGUUCUUGUGUUAUAUUGGGACAAUUGUCCAACAGGCACAUGUCCAGGGUCUAUCAAAGGACAAUAACAAACAAACAAACAAACCCUUCAAAUAUCUAGUUUUCUCAAGAUGGUCUAUAUGCAAAAGACUCUGAUUUUUUAAGAGAUGUCUGUUGCUGGUAGUAUAACAGCUGGCAGACCUUGCCAUCUAUCAGCUGACCGGGCUAUCAGGGCUCAUGAUACCCACCUACAAUGUUUCACUGAACUGGUUUUCAACUGGUUUUAACUGGUUAUGGAUGUCAACCAACCAGUUGUGACAGAUGGCCGCCCCUCCCUGAGCCUGGUUCUGCAGGAGGUUCCUUCCUGUUAAAAGGGAGUUUUUCUUUUCCACUGUCGCCAAGUGCUUCAAAGGGUUUAGUUGAAAAGAUCUGUGUUUAGUUUACUUUACAUUUAGACCAAACAAAUCUGUUGCCAAAAAUGGGCUUGUUAUUGUUGGUCAAAAUGGCUACCAGCUUAGCAUUAAAACUGCCUCACACUGUAAGUCACAAGCACAAUGAUGACAACUAAAAUGGUAUUCAUUGUCAUUUUCCACAGACAACAGUCAUGGAGUCUUAUAAAACUGAGCACAUUUAGGACAUUAAAGAUCUCUGUAAAGAGCAGUUAAAGAAUUUAGCUUCCACCAAGCUGCAAAUUUCAAGGAAAUAAAAAGGAUGCAAAAACUGCCUGAGUUCUGUUUGUAAAGAGUGGUUUGUAGAGACACACAACAGAGUAUGAG